AUUGAACGCUGGCGGCAUGCCUUACACAUGCAAGUCGAACGGCAGCGGGGGAGAAGCUUGCUUUUCCUGCCGGCGAGUGGCGAACGGGUGAGUAAUACAUCGGAACGUGCCCUGUAGUGGGGGAUAACUAGUCGAAAGAUUAGCUAAUACCGCAUACGACCUGAGGGUGAAAGUGGGGGACCGCAAGGCCUCAUGCUAUAGGAGCGGCCGAUGUCUGAUUAGCUAGUUGGUGGGGUAAAGGCCUACCAAGGCGACGAUCAGUAGCUGGUCUGAGAGGACGAUCAGCCACACUGGGACUGAGACACGGCCCAGACUCCUACGGGAGGCAGCAGUGGGGAAUUUUGGACAAUGGGCGAAAGCCUGAUCCAGCAAUGCCGCGUGUGUGAAGAAGGCCUUCGGGUUGUAAAGCACUUUUGUCCGGAAAGAAAUGGCUCUGUUAAUACCUGGGGUCGAUGACGGUACCGGAAGAAUAAGGACCGGCUAACUACGUGCCAGCCGCCGCGGUAA
rnacentral:rRNA from 1 species